AUCUAGCUCUGCUAUACGUAACAAAAUCCUAAGUAAACCAAAGUAAAACAAGAAAUUUGUCCAUCAUGCAGCAUAUGUUUGUUUUCUUUGCUCAAAAUUCUGCUUUGACAAACUGUGGAAGAAAAUUCAUCUUGGAUUUGAAAUUGAACUUUUAAACAUGCACAACUGAUGUCAACAGAAAGUUAAUGGGUGUUCGUUGAGUAUGCCAUCUCACACGUUCAAUUGUGUCCAGGCAUUGAUUAUGACAUUUUGAUGCAAUAUCUCCACUAUUAAUAUAUGACUAGGACCAAUUUCUGUCGUCAUGUACUAGAUUUUAUUUCUUAUUGUUAGAUCUUUUGUUGCAUGUAUAAUAGUUUUGAAUGCACACAGUGAGGGGGGACACGACAUUUUACUAUCUCAGUUGGAUUAUACCAAG
rnacentral:misc_RNA from 1 species